CCUACGGGAGGCAGCAGUGGGGAAUUUUGGACAAUGGGCGAAAGCCUGAUCCAGCCAUGCCGCGUGCAGGAUGAAGGCCUUCGGGUUGUAAACUGCUUUUGUACGGAACGAAAAGGCUCUUUCCAAUAAAGAGGGCUCAUGACGGUACCGUAAGAAUAAGCACCGGCUAACUACGUGCCAGCAGCCGCGGUAAUACGUAGGGUGCAAGCGUUAAUCGGAAUUACUGGGCGUAAAGCGUGCGCAGGCGGUUAUGUAAGACAGUUGUGAAAUCCCCGGGCUCAACCUGGGAACUGCAUCUGUGACUGCAUAGCUAGAGUACGGUAGAGGGGGAUGGAAUUCCGCGUGUAGCAGUGAAAUGCGUAGAUAUGCGGAGGAACACCGAUGGCGAAGGCAAUCCCCUGGACCUGUACUGACGCUCAUGCACGAAAGCGUGGGGAGCAAACAGGAUUAGAUACCCUGGUAGUCCACGCCCUAAACGAUGUCAACUGGUUGUUGGGUCUUCACUGACUCAGUAACGAAGCUAACGCGUGAAGUUGACCGCCUGGGGNGUACGGCCGCGAGUAGAACGACAAGUAGAGUAGAGGCGUGAGACGUGCCGAGGACGACGACGAGGGGAGGAGGG
rnacentral:rRNA from 1 species